rnacentral:rRNA from 1 species
GAUGAACGCUGGCGGCGUGCCUAACACAUGCAAGUCGAGCGAACCCUUCGGGGUGAGCGGCGGACGGGUGAGUAACGCGUGGGUAACCUGCCCUAUACACACGGAUAACGUACCGAAAGGUACGCUAAUACGGGAUAAAGUUGUUGGAUGGCAUCUUCUAACAAUCAAAGCUCCGGCGGUAUAGGAUGGACCCGCGUCUGAUUAGCUAGUUGGUGAGGUAAGGGCUCACCAAGGCGACGAUCAGUAGCCGACCUGAGAGGGUGAUCGGCCACACUGGAACUGGGACACGGUCCAGACUCCUACGGGAGGCAGCAGUGGGGAAUAUUGCACAAUGGGCGAAAGCCUGAUGCAGCAACGCCGCGUGAGCGAUGAAGGUCUUCGGAUCGUAAAGCUCUGUCCUCAAGGAAGAUAAUGACGGUACUUGAGGAGGAAGCCCCGGCUAACUACGUGCCAGCCGCCGCCGUAA